rnacentral:rRNA from 1 species
GAAAGUAAUAAAGGGCGUAUGGGGGAUGCCUAGGCUCUUGGAGGCGAAGAAAGACGUGGUAAGCUGCGAUAAGCCUCGGGGAUUUGCAAACGAGAAUUGAUCCGAGGAUUUCUGAAUGGGACAACCCGGCAGGCAGAAGGCCUGUCACACGAAAGUGGGCCAACCCUCUGAACUGAAACAUCUUAGUAGGAGGAGGAAAAGAAAGAAACAUCGAUUUCCUAAGUAGCGGCGAGCGAACGGGAAACAGCCUAAACCACAAUUGUUACGGCAACUGUGGGGUUGUAGGACUGCAAUAUUCAAAUGACUGUGAACUGGAAUGUUCUGGAAAGUUCAUCCGUAGAGAGUGAAAGACUCGUACAGGUAAGCACGUCAGGCGAUAGCAGUAUCCUGAGUAGGGCGGGACACGAGGAAUCCUGUCUGAAUCCGCCGGGACCACCCGGUAAGGCUAAAUACUCCCAAGAGACCGAUAGUGAACCAGUACCGUGAGGGAAAGGUGAAAAGAACCCCGAACAGGGGAGUGAAAUAGAACCUGAAACCAUACGCUUACAACCUGUCGGAGCGGCUUCGUGCCGUGACGGCGUGCCUAUUGAAUAAUGAGCCUACGAGUUACUAAUCACUGGCAAGGUUAAGUGCACGGAUGCACGGAGCCGAAGCGAAAGCGAGUCUGAACAGGGCGUUUAGUCAGUGGUUGUAGACGCGAAACCUUGCGAUCUACCCUUGAGCAGGUUGAAGGUUGGGUAAAACCAACUGGAGGACCGAACGAAUAAGCGUUGAAAAGCUUCUCGAUGACUUGAGGGUAGGGGUGAAAGGCUAAUCAAGCUGGGAAAUAGCUCGUACUCCCCGAAAUGCCUUUAGGGGCAGCGUUGUAAUUAAGAGUCUACUGGAGGUAGAGCUACUGAUUGGAUGCGGGGGCUUCACCGCCUACCAAAUCCUGACAAACUCCGAAUGCCAGUAGUAUGAUUUACAGCAGUGAGCGACCGGGUGCUAAUGUCCGGUUACGAGAGUGGAACAACACAGACCAGCAACUAAGGUCCCCAAGAGUAUACUAAGUUGAUCUAACGAUGUUUUGCUGCAGAGACAGCUAGGAUGUUAGCUUGGAAGCAGCUAUUCAUUCAAAGAGUGCGUAACAGCUCACUAGUCGAGCGGCAAAGCGUGGAUAAUAAACGGGCAUCAAGUAUACCACCGAAGUUCUGGGCACGAAAGUGCGGUAGGGGAGCAUUCCAUUCCGCGUUGAAGCCGAACCGUGAGGUUUGGUGGAGUGUAUGGAAAAGCAAAUGUAGGCAUGAGUAACGAUAAUGCGGGAGAGUAACCCGCACACCGCAAGACCAAGGUUUCCUGAUCAACGCUAAUCGGAUCAGGGUUAGUCGGGUCCUAAGGGUAAGCCGAACGGUGAUCUCGAUGGAUAAUCGGUUAAUAUUCCGAUACUGACAUAUACCUCGAUGGAGAGACGAAGGAACGUAAGUGCCGCCACCUGACGGAAUAGGUGGUUAAAGGGCUUAGGUAUAGGGACAGAUUAAGAGUUAGUCCUUGCUGAAACCUGACAGUACAGAGAGCCUACGGGCAAUUUGAUAGUGCACCCAAGUCGACUUCCGAGAAAAUCUUCUAAGUUAUAGUAUAUGUCACCCGUACCGUAAACCGACACAGGUGGUCGAGGAGAGUAUCCUAAGGUGCUCGAGUGAAUCACGGUUAAGGAACUAGGCAAAUUAACCCCGUAACUUCGGGAAAAGGGGUCCCAUCGCGAGGUGGGCGCAGCGAAGAGGUCCAGGCGACUGUUUAUCAAAAACACAGGGCUCUGCAAAUUCGAAAGAAGACGUAUAGGGCCUGACACCUGCCCGGUGCUGGAAGGUUAAGAGGGGAUGUCAUCGCAAGAGAAGCAUUGAAUCGAAGCCCCAGUAAACGGCGGCCGUAACUAUAACGGUCCUAAGGUAGCGAAAUUCCUUGUC